UAGGGAAUAUUGCGCAAUGGGGGAAACCCUGACGCAGCAACGCCGCGUGGAGGAUGACACUUUUCGGAGCGUAAACUCCUUUUCUUUGGGAAGAAUUUUGACGGUACCAAAGGAAUAAGCACCGGCUAACUCCGUGCCAGCAGCCGCGGUAAUACGGAGGGUGCAAGCGUUACUCGGAAUCACUGGGCGUAAAGGGCGCGUAGGCGGAUUAUCAAGUCUCUUGUGAAAUCUAAUGGCUUAACCAUUAAACUGCUUGGGAAACUGAUAGUCUAGAGUGAGGGAGAGGCAGAUGGAAUUGGUGGUGUAGGGGUAAAAUCCGUAGAUAUCACCAAGAAUACCCAUUGCGAAGGCGAUCUGCUGGAACUUAACUGACGCUAAGGCGCGAAAGCGUGGGGAGCAA
rnacentral:rRNA from 1 species